rnacentral:rRNA from 1 species
AUGAAUUUAAACCCAUCGAUCAUAUGCUGGAAUGUGAGAGGUCUGAACAACCCGGCAAAAAGAAAGGCAGUGCGAGAGUUUGUUUCGUCUAUCAAAUGUAAUAUGGCGUGUCUUCAGUAGACCAAAUUAGAUGUAGUAGAUCAGUACUUAAUGAUGCAAUGUAUCGGGCCAUUCUUUGAUGGCCUUGCUUAUCUUUCGGCGAUCGACACACGUGGAGGGGUUCUUUUGGCUUGGAUACUACGGUGCUCUGGGUAG